rnacentral:rRNA from 1 species
GAUGAACGCUGGCGGCGUGCUUAACACAUGCAAGUCGAACGAUGAAGCCCAGCUUGCUGGGUGGAUUAGUGGCGAACGGGUGAGUAACACGUGAGUAACCUGCCCUUGACUCUGGGAUAAGCCUGGGAAACUGGGUCUAAUACUGGAUAUGACUUCUCAUCGCAUGGUGGGGGGUGGAAAGAUUUAUUGGUCUUGGAUGGACUCGCGGCCUAUCAGCUUGUUGGUGAGGUAAUGGCUCACCAAGGCGACGACGGGUAGCCGGCCUGAGAGGGUGACCGGCCACACUGGGACUGAGACACGGCCCAGACUCCUACGGGAGGCAGCAGUGGGGAAUAUUGCACAAUGGGCGCAAGCCUGAUGCAGCGACGCCGCGUGAGGGAUGACGGCCUUCGGGUUGUAAACCUCGUUCAGUAGGGAAGAAGCGAGAGUGACGGUACCUGCAGAAGAAGCGCCGGCUAACUACGUG